rnacentral:lncRNA from 1 species
CCUGACCGAAAAAUGUGAGGGUUUAGGUAAAAAUAUAGGCCCGAAAUAUGGGCUUGGGCAAAAAUCGAAGCCCGUUUAAAAAUGGGCCGGGCCUCGAGCAAAAAUUUUCUGACACGGGCCCAGCCCGGCCCGGCCCGACACAUAAUAAAUAUAUUUUUUUAUUUCUAAAAUAUAUUCCCUAAUUCCCAAAUAUCCCAAAUCCCAGUAAGUCAGUAACCCAUUUCCCCCUUUUCCCAUUUACCCUUUUCGACAUUUCUCCCUAACCUAACCCUAAGCCUGUGCCCUCCUCCCAUUUUUCUCAAUUCGAGUUCACCUCCGGCAGCAAUCCACCUCUGAUCCUCCACCGAUCCACGACCAGACCUCCACGGCUCCACCCAUUUCCAGAAUCAGAGGUUAGAGCGAAGCUACAAACGUUGUUGCCUUAUAGUUCCUUUUUUGUUUGAUGUCUUUUGUUUAUAAUCUGUUUAUAAUCUUCUUUAUAAUCUGUUGAUGUUGCCUUACUGAUGUUGCCUUACAGUUCCCUUUGUUUAGCUGUUUAUAAUUUGUCGUUGUUGCCUACUAUUGUUGCCUUACAGUUCCAUUUGUUUCGUUGUUGCCUUACUGUUGUUGCAUUGCAUCUCAAUAUUUUUAUGGACAUUUAAUUUAUGCUUUACAAGAUUCAUUCACUGCGACAUUCUUAAACAUAUGAUUCCUUUUUUUUUAUCAAAUAUUUAACAUAUGAUUUUUGUCUCCAAAUCCAAAGUCAAAUAAUUAUAUAUAAAACUUUAUUUGCAAUAUGAUAUUGCUGUUUGACUCACUUCCAAGUGAACUUAUAUGGGCAUUUUAGCUCUUAAUUUGUGUUUUAAGCUAUUAUCCCAGGAGUUAACAUCAAAAACUUUGUAAUAAUAUUCAUGUAACUAAAUAAAUUGAUUGCGACAAGCUGACGUUAGUUGAAUUAAGGGUACCAAUCCUAAAUAAUUUUUAUUUUCUAUCACAAAUGGCAGACAAUUUGCUUCUUCCAUCCACUGACUGUUGUACCAAGUGCCUGUUUUAUAAUCUGUCUUCUGUUUUCUCUUAAUUUCUCUUACUUUCUCUUAUUUGAAAUUUUAUACUCUGGUUUAUAUUCUGGUUUAUAAUCUGGUUUAUACCUUGUUGCUUCUUUUUUAUAUCUGAAAUUUUAUAUUCUGGUUUAUAAUCUGGUUUAUACCUUGUUGCUUCUUUUUUUAUAUAUGAAAUUUUAUAUUCUGGUUUAUAAUCUGGUUUAUACCUUGUUGCUUCUUUUUUUAUAUAUGAAAUUUUAUAUUCUGGUUUAUAAUCUGGUUUAUACCUUGAUGCUUCUUUUUUAUAUUUGUGACAUUUUUUGACAGUUUUGGUAUUAUUUGACAGUUUUUUGCAGCUUAAAACUUAAAAGCAAUAGCAGUGCUUAUUGCCCAAUGAUAAUAUGCUGCUAGUCCUUAUUACUUGUAUAAUCAUUUUUAUUUUUAUUCUCUUUUUUUAAGAAUUGAUUGUUAGUUUGUUACCUAAAUGUCACAAAUGUGUUAUUAUAGACAAUUAAAUAACAUUUAAAUUCAAUUAGUUGUUAAUUUUUUAAACUUACAGUGUAUUAGUUUAGUGUAAUACUACAUCAAUUCUAACAUAAAGUUUAUAGAUAACAUGAUGAAAGCUAUUAUUUUAAAUUUUUUUCAUUAUAUACAAAAAAAAAUAUAAUUUGAUAUUUGAUAUAACUUUAAUAAAAAUUAGUUUUAACUUUUAAGUUAAAAAAAGGGCCGGACCGGGCCGGGCUUCAUAUUUUUUCCACGGGCUGGGCUUGGGUUACAUCUCAAGCUCAUAUUUCGGGCUGGGCCUGGCCUAGUAAGCGGGCCGAAUUUUUUUUCUGAGCCCGGCCCGAAUUUGGCCCGGCCCAUGAGCACCUCUAGAGGGGAUAGACCACAUGAGAUUUGAGGGUCUCUUGGUAGUCGUUGUUUGUUUAAUCUUUGUUUAAUCUGGUUUGAUUAAAGUAAAACAUCUCUAGUUUGUUUAUGAAUUAUUCUAGUAUUGUGAUUACUUAAUUUAUCUUUUUCCUCCUUUGGGAUUAUUUAUUUUGAAGACAUAGUUUUUGGGCAUCAAGUUGUAUUAUCUUAUUUCUCGUUUAUGCCAUGUGUUAUGUUUUUGUAUUCUUAUCUUUCAGGGUUUUUUCUUCGAACAAAUAAAAAUAAUAUUUUGAAAAUUCUUAAAAAUGCUUAUAUACAUAAAACUUGAUUACUCUUUUAAAAUUUAUGUUGAUGUUAAAAGUGUAUAUAUUUUUUAUUGUAUUAACAUGAAAUUAAGAUAAGAGGUUAAAAUUCAGAAUAUACUUGCAUUAAUAUUAAAAUCGAGAGUUUUUAUGAGAAAUUUAAGAGUUUUAUUUUUAAUAUUUUAAUGUGCUCACAAAUUAUUCUUCCGAAAUCAAAUUUAAUCCAGCCUUUUAUUAUUAGUUGAAUGAAAGGAUUUGUAAUAAAAUAAUAAUAUUAAAACAUAAAUAAAUAAUUUAAAUUUAAAUCAAGCUUCUUAUCCCAUAAAUAAUAAAUUGAAGGCCUACAUAUUUCCUUGUUUUGGAUUUCAAUAUAUUAUAUUGAUAGCAUAGGACCUAAUAUGAUAACAGCACACAUUUUACCAAAUCUAAUCAUCAUUAAUUCAUUAAAAAGGCAUGCAUGUCCAGCUCCAACAUCACAAUAUUCCACACAACAGCAAAAACAACUUGAAGCAUAAAUUUAAUUUUAUGACUCAAACAAAUUAUUCAACAACAUUUUAAGAGUUGAUGUCAGAUCUUGGAAUCAAAAGCUAUGAUAGUGCUGAGAUUCGUAGGAUUCAUGUAUUCAUUAGACCCUGUCAUUAUCUGUUCUACGAUCAAUUUGUUAGCUUUCUCCGAUGGAUGAAAUGGAUCCCAAAACGCAUAUAGAUCUCUGUUCGGACAUAAAUUCGACAAUUGAGUACAUAAACCCAGUCCAUUGUAAGGUCCUUGUCCGCAACAGGCUAUCUCUGAUGUUGUAAAUCCUGUUUCAAACCAAUUUUUUCAUAUAUUUGAAGAGUCUUAAGAAGUUAUAUCUUUAUACCUAUAUCCAGAUAUAUGUCAAAUAUGAAUACUUCAAAAGUAAUUUAUUUAGGGUAAAAUUCUCCACAUAUCUAUAUAUAAUUUAGAAAAAAAUUAAGUAUAGUCAUUCAAAUAUAUUCUUAGUAUGAACAUUAAAGAAAAGUUACUCGAAUUCGAAUGUGAAGGUUGAACAUAGAUAUGUGUUAAUUUUUUGGUGUGUGUGGAGAGGAUAAAGUCUGAGAUAGGGAAGUACGUACCAAAGGCUUGAGGGUCACUAACGAAAUCAUUGUGCAUUUUUUGAGUAUUUGCACUGAUGAAGACAUCUCUGCCAAUUUUAUCAUUGAGUCCAUUAAUCAUCUGAACAAGUUGUGGAUUGUACAAGGAAGCAGCGCGUUGCAGUUCUUGUGAGCAUCCGCCAUUGUUGCCCCUCAUUGCAAGUUCUGCUGGAACACAACCCAAUGGUCCUGUGCCUGUCACUAGAACCCUUCGUGCUCCCGCUUUGUAUAGCUUCUGCAAUAAUCAACAAAGGGUUAGUAAAUAUUCUUAUGUCCAAACUGGCAUGCCAAUUUAGGGUAGAAAAUUUACCAUCAAGAGUUUUCGAUAUUCGGAAAUGAGAAAGCGGACAUAAUCAGGCAAACUGUAUUGUCUAGAUCUUGCAGAGAAGGGAACCAAGUAAUAGUUGUUGACGAAAUCAUUACCACCCACUGUAAUAAGGACAAGUGCUUGGUUUACUACUCGAUUAGCUUGCCUUGUUCCAACUAAACCUGACAAUCUUCGCUUGUAUUCUUCAAACAACUCCAACUGUCUAUACAUUCUCAGUAUAUUUACCUGUUUUCCCAACAUUUUUACACCAAAUUAUUUGAGUUCAAUUAAAAAAAAAUCGGCUUAGUCAUUGUCAAUCAAAAUUAAGUUUAAUUUGUAACUUACGAAUUGAACUCCAGUGUCAUUAAGGAUUCCCACACCAGCUGAAGCAAAGUUAGCACCAAGAAGCAGCUUUUUACCAUUAAAAUCUGGGCUCAAAUAUGGCAAUGGUGACUCCGACAAUCCAAUUUGCUUACCUGCAUUGCAUGCCAUGCAUUCAAAUUAAUUACAUUUAUCUUGUCUACACCAACAUAUAUUAGAAACUUAUAUACCAAUCAGGUCUGGGAUGUUAAGGCCAUUAGAGAAACGGCCGGUGGGUCUUCCUGUCGGAUAAUCGAUGCCGUAAGGUGGGGAAUCAGCACGAGCCGUGGUUUCGAGGUAGUUAUUGUUGCCACUGUCAACAAGUGAAUCACCAAAAAUGAAGAAAGCUCGAGCCUCAGCAAUGGCGGCAAUGCUCGCCAUUAACAAAGCCAGGACCAUCAAUGAAGCUGAAGAUGCCAUUGGUAUUGGUUAUGAUAAGAAAAGAAGCCAAAGGAAGAGUUGAAUUGUAUGGGAAUAAGAAAGUAAUAAGGGGUUGCUUAUAUAGAGAUGGAUUGAAUUAAAGAGAAGGUUAAAAAGCAAAAAAGGAAGCUGUUUUGUUAGUUGAAUAUAAUUUUGUACCAACUUUUGCCACCUUUGUCAGGAUAUUUAUUGCCUAGUGUAGUAGUGUUGCAAUUUUGUUCAUGAUGAUUGUCUGUAAAGCUAACUCACAACACAAUAGGCUUUUGAAUGAUAUGAAGUUAUGCAUAUGAUGGUAGCUGUUAUUGACAAUAAGCGUGUGAGCAUCCUAGACUGGACCAAAACACUUGAGCUGUCUAUAUGAGACAUGAGCACCAUGCUGGGCGUUUUAAGUUAAAAAUUUUUGAAAGGAGUCUAAAUGUAAUUUUAUCACUAUAUUAACUUACAUUUGUUGUGUAUUUGCAGCAGAACAUCAGGCAAUUCAUCUAUCCCUGUCACAACAACUCAACAUGCUCCAAGCCCAUAGAGUCUGCAAUGACAAAAUUCUGAAAUAAGUUAUAUGUUCAGUAUUCACUGUUAGUGUUCAAAUUGUCUGAACCUUGUGAUUAUAAUUACCUACAAAAAUGUAAACUUCCAUGUCUAUCCCAUGCACUAAUUCAUAUCUAUGUUGAUACCGG